rnacentral:rRNA from 1 species
CCUACGGGAGGCAGCAGUGGGGAAUAUUGGACAAUGGGUGCAACCCUGAUCCAGCCAUGCCGCGUGUGUGAAGAAGGCCCUCGGGUUGUAAAGCACUUUCAGUGAGGAAGAACGCCUGGUGGUUAAUACCCAUCAGGAAAGACAUCACUCACAGAAGAAGCACCGGCUAACUCCGUGCCAGCAGCCGCGGUAAUACGGAGGGUGCGAGCGUUAAUCGGAAUUACUGGGCGUAAAGCGCGCGUAGGUGGCUUGAUAAGCCGGUUGUGAAAGCCCCGGGCUCAACCUGGGAACGGCAUCCGGAACUGUCCAGCUAGAGUGCAGGAGAGGAAGGUAGAAUUCCCGGUGUAGCGGUGAAAUGCGUAGAGAUCGGGAGGAAUACCAGUGGCGAAGGCGGCCUUCUGGACUGACACUGACACUGAGGUGCGAAAGCGUGGGUAGCAAACAGGAUUAGAUACCCCUGUAGUC